CCUACGGGUGGCAGCAGUGAGGAAUAUUGGUCAAUGGCCGGAAGGCUGAACCAGCCAUGCCGCGUGAAGGUCAGUGCCCUAUGGGCGUUAAACUUCUUUUGUGCGGGAGCAAUAAUGGUCACGUGUGGCCAGACGAGAGUACCGUACGAAUAAGCAUCGGCUAACUCCGUGCCAGCAGCCGCGGUAAUACGGGGGAUGCAAGCGUUAUCCGGAUUUAUUGGGUUUAAAGGGUGAGAAGGCUGUGAGGUAAGUCAGCGGUGAAAUGCCCCCGCUCAACGGGGUGAAGUGCCAUUGAUACUGGCUGGCUGGAAUGCGGAUGCCGUGGGAGGAAGGUGUGGUGUAGCGGUGAAAUGCAUAGAUAUCACACAGAACACCGAUUGCGAAGGCAUCUCACGAAUCCGCGAUUGACGCUGAUGCACGAAAGCGUGGGUAUCAAACAGGAUUAGAUACCCUUGUAGUC
rnacentral:rRNA from 1 species